AUUGAACGCUGGCGGCAUGCUUUACACAUGCAAGUCGAACGGUAACAGGCCGCAAGGUGCUGACGAGUGGCGAACGGGCGAGUAAUGCAUCGGAACGUGCCCAGUCGUGGGGGAUAACGCAGCGAAAGCUGUGCUAAUACCGCAUACGAUCUAUGGAUGAAAGCGGGGGACCGUAAGGCCUCGCGCGAUUGGAGCGGCCGAUGUCAGAUUAGGUAGUUGGUGGGGUAAAGGCUCACCAAGCCAACGAUCUGUAGCUGGUCGGAGAGGACGACCAGCCACACUGGGGCUGAGCAACGGCCCAGACUCCUACGGGAGGCAGCAGUGGGGAAUUUUGGACAAUGGGCGCAAGCCUGAUCCAGCAAUGCCGCGUGCAGGAAGAAGGCCUUCGGGUUGUAAACUGCUUUUGUACGGAACGAAAAGGUUUGGGUUAAUACCCUGGGCCGAUGACGGUUCCGUAAGAAUAAGCACCGGCUAACUACGUGCCAGCCGCCGCGGUAACAC
rnacentral:rRNA from 1 species